CCUCGUAAGAAUAUUUCUUGACAAAUGACACAUCCGAUUUACGUACCGGAUAAUACCAUGCGAUCAUCGCUAUACAUUCAUCACACAUACAAUCAUCAUCUAUUAAAAGUACAUAUCCGUCAUCGCCGUUCCCAAGUCCAAGCACGAUAAAUCCCUUUUAAUUUAUCAGGAUGAAAGAGAAAAACCGGCCUGCGCACUAGUAACUAAGGAAACUUUUUUAUAUGCAGUACAAGGUACGAGCUCGAUUAGUUUUACUUUAUUUUUAGCCUAUAGAAUCGAGCUCUCGGAUAUAAGCUAUGAUACUUCUAACAAAAAGGUCGAUGACUUUAUCGAUAUUAGGCCAUGACUAAAGUACAGUAUUAUGAAAGAGAAAAUGCAGUUUCUGGAGUCUGACAACUUCAAGGUGUAGAGAAGAGUGAAACGCCUAGCUAACCUUACGAGUAAGAAUAUUAAUACGCCAAAGUUUAAUUGAUUUCUAUGUAGUGUCUAUUUUUGAACUUUUUAAAUUUAAUUUAAAAUAUUUAUUUUCGACGCGUUGAUAACUGUGGCUUUAUUGACCUGGAGUAAUUAGCUUCGCUCAUUGGGUGAGUCUACACAAUUCUCUAGUGGCCAAGGACUCGUUACGUGGAGUUGACUCCGGCAUGAAAAAACUCUAGUUAAAUUGUUAUUUUAUAUAUUUUCGACACUGUGACAUUUCAUUAUUCAUACAGUAUGCCAAUAGCUACGUCUGUAUUUCUUAAUUCGCGAAGAGUUUAGCAUCGUGAUCAAUCGCUGGGUCCAGCCUGUUCAUCUUACAGCUCAGGAAUGACUCCCGACUUUAUAUGUAUUAAUUCUGCGCAAAUACGUUAUACGCUAACGUCAUCGUAGACUAGCUCUUUUUUUUCGUGUCCUUGCAUCGCCGCGUAACUGUUGGAUGACGUAGCACCAAUGAUUAUCUCCUUCGUAUCACCUUUAUAAGUACGCAUUAAGUCGCUGUUUCGACUACUGGGAUUUUUUGUCUGUCAUAUAUAUGUAUGCGCGUCGUCAUAGUCAGAAAUGUUGCGUAUCGAACAUGAAAAUCCAAGAUGGAGACCUGCGGAGCACGUAUUAAUGCGUAACAAGAGUAAACGUGUGAUAAAUUCGAAUCUCGUAAUUACCAUGAUAAAAAGUCCAAGCGAUUUUGAUUAAAAGCACUUAGGUUAGGUUAGAAGUGGUAGGAGUAAAAAUAAUAUCGUUCGCACAGAGGACUUUGAUAAAUAAAGGAAAAACAAUUCGCAAUAAUAAUAACAGCGAUCAGGGGGAUGCGGACGAUAAAAGAUAAUUUAUCGUAAAAAGCAUGUAAAUAAAUGUUACGUGCGCGAGAUACCUAUUAUUAAUAGAUUAUGACGAGCGUGUAUGAUUCAUAAUUAAUUAUUGAAAUAUCUAUUCUCCAAUGUUUAACGUAAAAGUUUCAACUCAACUAUAUGACACGAUGGCUAAUAUUCAAUUGUGAUUCGUAAGGAAAGCCGUAACUUGUUUUUUAAAAAUGUACAUUUUUCCAUUCAAAUUUCGUGGAACGUAGGAAAGUAGUUGUAAAUGUAUUCCAAGGUUUUGUGAAAUUUUAAAAACUUACUAUUUCCAUCAAUAACGAUACACUGUACACAUUGGCACGUGCAUUUCAAUAUAACGUGGGUAUUUAAAA